UUUUCCUCCUCCGCCUCCUUGUACAGUGCCGCGAGUGAUCUGUGUCGUGCUGCAGGUGCUUCUCGUGAUCAGGCUUACGGUGGCUCUUGGAGGCGCACCGCAAUUAAAAAGCAGUAUGCAAGCUCCUCACCGCAAGCUACCGACAUAUCAACCCAUGGCUCUCUGUAAAGCUUCGUUAGACGUUGUGGCACUCACGUCAGGAUGAAACAGGCAAGAAAGAUCCCAAAACAUGUGGAAGCUUUAAGAAGGCAAAGUAUUGAUGGCGAAACACACACCGAUAAUUUGCCAGGAAGGAAGCUUCACCUCAGAAAUCAAAGUGAAUAAUGUCCCCACAAUGAAAACACAAUUCAUUAUGAAUCGUGAAAUCUCAAGGGUUUUCUUUUUUUCCUCAAUUAGACAAUUUCCUUCAACAGUAUCGAUUGUCGCUUCACUGCUUAUUCAUCCUUCAAUUGUGAAUAACCAGAGAGUUAAUUGUCUUCUAAAACAAGAGAGAGAAAUGUUUUCGCAGAUUCAU